ACGAACGCUGGCGGCGUGCCUAAUACAUGCAAGUAGAACGCACAGUUUAUACCGUAGCUUGCUACACCCUAGACUGUGAGUUGCGAACGGGUGAGUAACGCGUAGGUAACCUGCCUGGUAGCGGGGGAUAACUAUUGGAAACGAUAGCUAAUACCGCAUAAUAUUAAUUAUUGCAUGAUAAUUAAUUGAAAGGUGCAAUUGCACCACUACCAGAUGGACCUGCGUUGUAUUAGCUAGUAGGUGAGGUAACGGCUCACCUAGGCGACGAUACAUAGCCGACCUGAGAGGGUGAUCGGCCACACUGGGACUGAGACACGGCCCAGACUCCUACGGGAGGCAGCAGUAGGGAAUCUUCGGCAAUGGACGAAAGUCUGACCGAGCAACGCCGCGUGAGUGAAGAAGGUUUUCGGAUCGUAAAGCUCUGUUGUAAGAGAAGAACGGGUGUGAGAGUGGAAAGUUCACACUGUGACGGUAUCUUACCAGAAAGGGACGGCUAACUACGUG
rnacentral:rRNA from 1 species